rnacentral:rRNA from 1 species
GGGUCUGCGUCUCAUUAGCUAGUUGGUAGGGUAAUGGCCUACCAAGGCAACGAUGAGUAGCUGGUCUGAGAGGAUGAUCAGCCACACUGGAACUGAAACACGGUCCAGACUCCUACGGGAGGCAGCAGUGGGGAAUAUUGCGCAAUGGGCGAAAGCCUGACGCAGCAACGCCGUGUGAGGGAUGAAGGCUUUCGGGUCGUAAACCUCUGUCGGAAGGGAAGAACGGGCAUUGGUCUAAUAGGCCUUUGUUUUGACGGUACCUUUAGAGGAAGCACCGGCUAACUCCGUGCCAGCAGCCGCGGUAAUACGGAGGGUGCAAGCG